GAAGUACUAGUGUUGUUUAUCCUGGUGGGAAAAAAUCUAAAUAUAAGUGAACUUUGUGUAAAGUUUUAGUUUCGGUCGAUGAAGGUUUUAGGGCAGAAAUAAAGCCGGAGUCUGGUGGAGGGUGGAGCCACUGGCGGGUCCAGCUGUUAUCAGCUGCUUUUACAGCCCGCCAGAGAGCUGCUGUCAGCGGUUUCACAGCCGAACUGUGGACCUGGACCUGGACUCUGCAGCCCUCAGACCUCUGCAGCACUCAGACCUCUGCAGCACUCAGACCUCUGCAGGUUGUCUUCAGUUUCUCGACCUGAGCUGAGUUUGUGUCUUUACCCAGAGAUGAAGAGGAGACUCCUGCUGGUGUCCAACUCCACCCUGCACGGCGGCGGCUACCUGGACCACUGUCAGCAGAACAUCUCACACUUCUUUGGAAAGGACGUGAAGAGGGUGCUGUUUGUUCCUUACGCUCUCCAUGACAGAGACGCCUACACCAAGACUGCCAGGGACAAGUUCCAGACUCUGGGUUACGAGGUGGACGGCAUCCACGAGGCCCCGGACCCCGUCGGCGCCGUCCGGAAGGCUGAGGCCAUUUUUAUAGGAGGAGGAAACACUUUCCGACUGCUGAAGAGUCUCUAUGACAACAAGGUGGUGUCAGAGAUCAGGAGGAGAGUGCUGGAGGUUUUCAUCCGCUUUUACACUUCAACAGUGAUCUUUGCUUACUGGACAUCCGUCCUCCAUUCUCCCCUUACGUCUCCCCCAGGACGGCGUCCCCUACAUGGGCUCCAGUGCCGGCACCAACGUGUCCACCAUCAGCAUCAACACCACCAACGACAUGCCCAUCGUCUACCCUCCGUCCUUCUCCGCCAUCGGCCUCGUCCCCUUCAACAUCAACCCGCACUACCUGGACCCCAACCCCAACAGCCGCCACAUGGGGGAGACCAGAGAGCAGAGGAUCACCCAGUACCACGAAGAACCUGAUACUCCUUGUGUCCUGGGUCUGAGGGAGGGGUCCAUGCUGCUGGUGGAAGGAAACAAAGCCACAUUACUGGGAACCACCAAGGCCAGACUCUUCACCCGGGGAAAGCCCUCAGUGGAGUAUGACCCAGGUAGUGACCUCAGCUUCCUGCUGACACAUUGACCAAUCACAAGGAAGUGGAACAUGAAGGUCUCACCCUUUCAAUAUUAUUGUUCUCAAUGAAACAGAAUAAACAUCUUAAAGAAAA